rnacentral:rRNA from 1 species
CCAAUAGCGUAUAUUAAAGUUGUUGCAGUUAAAAAGCUCGUAGUUGAAUUUCGGAAUCAGUACGUUGGUCGUGCCUUCGGUAUGCACUGGCGUCACUGGUUUCUCCUUUCUGAAGAACCGUGAUGUCAUUAAUUUGGUGUUGCGGGGAAUCAGGACUGUUACUUUGAAAAAAUUAGAGUGUUUAAAGCAGGCUCACGCUUGAAUACAUUAGCAUGGAAUAAUGAAAUAGGACGUUUGAUUCUAUUUUGUUGGUUUCUAGGAUCGACGUAAUGAUUAAUAGGGAUAGUUGGGGGCAUUAGUAUUCAAUUGUCAGAGGUGAAAUUCUUGGAUUUAUUGAAGACUAACUACUGCGAAAGCAUUUGCCAAGGAUGUUUUCAUUAAUCAAGAACGAAAGUCAGGGGAUCGAAGACGAUCAGAUACCGUCGUAGUCUUAACCAUAAACUAUGCCGACUAGGGAUCGGAUGAUGUUAAUUUUAUAAUGACUCAUUCGGCGCCUUGCG